rnacentral:rRNA from 1 species
CGCCUCCCGUCCGCCGCCACUCAAGACUCCGUACGGGGCAGGCAGUGGGGAAUAUUGGGACAAUGGGCGCAAGCCUGAUCCAGCCAUGCCGCGUGAGUGAGUGACGGCCUUAGGGUUGUAAAGCUCUUUCGCUAGGGACGAUAAUGACGGUACCUAGACAAGAAGCCCCGGCUAACUUCGUGCCAGCCGCCGCGGUAAUUC